rnacentral:rRNA from 1 species
UACAGAGGGUGCGAGCGUUAUUCGGAAUUAUUGGGCGUAAAGCGUGCGUAGACGGUUACGUAAGUCGGGUGUGAAAGCUCCGGGCUCAACCUGGGAAUUGCAUUCGAGACUGCGUAGCUAGGGUGCGGAAGAGGGAAGCGGAAUUUCCGGUGUAGCGGUGAAAUGCGUAGAUAUCGGAAGGAACAUCAGUGGCGAAAGCGGCUUCCUGGUCCAGCACCGACGUUCAGGCACGAAAGCGUGGGGAGCGAACAGG